rnacentral:rRNA from 1 species
CCUACGGGAGACUGCAGUGGGGAAUAUUGCACAAUGGGGGAAACUCUGAUGCAGCGACGCCGCGUGAGUGAAGAAGUAUUUCGGUAUGUAAAGCUCUAUCAGCAGGGAAGAAAAUGACGGUACCUGAUUAAGAAGCCCCGGCUAACUACGUGCCAGCAGCCGCGGUAAUACGUAGGGGGCAAGCGUUAUCCGGAUUUACUGGGUGUAAGGGGAGCGUAGACGGCGGCGCAAGUCUGAAGUGAAAUGCCGGGGCUUAACCCCGGAACUGCUUUGGAAACUGUGCAGCUAGAGUGCAGGAGAGGUAAGCGGAAUUCCUAGUGUAGCGGUGAAAUGCGUAGAUAUUAGGAGGAACACCAGUGGCGAAGGCGGCUUACUGGACUGUAACUGACGUUGAGGCUCGAAGGCGUGGGGAGCAAACAGGAUUAGAUACCCCAGUAGUC